rnacentral:rRNA from 1 species
GUCUACGGCCAUGCCAUCCUGAACGUGCCCGAUCUCGUCUGAUCUCGGAAGCUAAGCAGGGUCGGGCCUGGUUAGUACUUGCAUGGGAGACCACCUAGGGAGACCAGGUGCUAUAGGCA